rnacentral:lncRNA from 1 species
UCAGAUAUCUUGAAGAGUGCUUGUGAUGGUGCAGAGGAAGCCUGGCAUUAGACUGCAGAGCACACCUCCCUAUCCCGACAACUUACAAAGACUGUGAGCUUGGUGUUGACCAUGAUGGGAAUAUUAUUCUGUGAGAACGGACAAACAGAACACACUGGGGCUCUUCUUGUCCUCUGAGACCUGGAAGGAGUCUCAGAGCCUUCCCUGACCACCAGCCAUGUGAGGCUACCGAGUCCUUGAACUGUGGUUGUUGAGAUG